GCGGAUUUGGCGGAACUGGUAGAUGCCCUGGAUUUAGGUUCCGGUGCCGAAAGACGUGGGGGUUCGAGUCCCCUCAUCUGCAUCA
rnacentral:tRNA from 2 species